rnacentral:misc_RNA from 1 species
GAUGAAGAACGUAUUGAAAUGCGAUAAGUAAUGCGAAUUGCAGAAUUCCGUGAGUCAUCGAAUCUUUGAACGCACAUUGCGCCCUCUGGUAUUCCGGAGGGCAUGCCUGUCUGAGCGUCAUUGUCAACCCUCAAGCUCAGCUUGCUGUUGGGUCCCCGUCGUUGCUUUAACGGCGGACCCGAAAGGUAAUGGCAGAGUCCGUGAGACCCUAGACGCAGCGAGCUUCUAGCACGCGUCUGGACGUUUUUCGGGCUCGGUCUUAACUAGAUGAUAACUUCCGAUUGACCUCAGAUCAGGUAGGGAUACCCGCUGAACUUAAGCAUAUCAAUAAGCGGAGGA